rnacentral:rRNA from 1 species
UUCCGGUUGAUCCUGCCGGACCCCACUGCUAUCGAGGUGGGACUAAGCCAUGCUAGUCGAACGAACAGAACUAUGUCUGUAAGUGGCAUACUGCUCAGUAACACGUAGCUAACCUACCCUUAGGACGUCGAUAACCCCGAGAAAUUGGGGCUAAUAGGCGAUAGGUGUGAUGUCCUGGAAUGGUAUCACGCCCAAAGGUAUCCCAUACAUGUUUGGUAUACGCCUAAGGAUGGGGCUGCGGCCGAUCAGGCUGUUGGUGAGGUAAUGGCUCACCAAACCUUUGACCGGUAUGGGCCAUGAGAGUGGUAGCCCAGAGAUGGACACUGAGACAAGGGUCCAGGCCCUACGGGGCGCAGCAGGCGCGAAACCUCCUCAAUGCACUAACGUGCGAAGGGGUUACCUCGAGUGCCACCUGAAGAAGGUGGCUUUUCCUUGGUCUAAAAAGCCUAGGGAAUAAGAGGGGGGCAAGACUGGUGUCAGCCGCCGCGGUAACACCAGCCCCUCGAGUGGUGGGGAUGAUUAUUUGGCCUAAAGCGUCCGUAGCCGGCCGGGUAAGUUUCCCGUUAAAUCCAGCGUCUCAAGCGUUGGACUGCGGGAAAUACUGCCUGGCUAGAGAGUGGGAGAGGUCAGCGGUAUUCUGGGGGUAGGGGCGAAAUCCUUUGAUCCCCGGAGGACCACCAGUGGCGAAGGCUGCUGACUAGAACACGUCUGACGGUCAGGGACGAAAGCUGGGGUAGCGAACCGGAUUAGAUACCCGGGUAGUCCCAGCCGUAAACGAUGCAUGCUAGGUGUUG